ACACUCCUACGGGAGGCAGCAGUGGGGAAUUUUGGACAAUGGGCGAAAGCCUGAUCCAGCAAUGCCGCGUGAGUGAAGAAGGCCUUCGGGUUGUAAAGCUCUUUUGUCAGGGAAGAAACGGUGAAAGCUAAUAUCUUUUGCUAAUGACGGUACCUGAAGAAUAAGCACCGGCUAACUACGUGCCAGCAGCCGCGGUAAUACGUAGGGUGCAAGCGUUAAUCGGAAUUACUGGGCGUAAAGCGUGCGCAGGCGGUUUUGAAAGUCUGAUGUGAAAUCCCCGGGCUCAACCUGGGAAUUGCAUUGGAGACUGCAAGGCUAGAAUCUGGCAGAGGGGGGUAGAAUUCCACGUGUAGCAGUGAAAUGCGUAGAUAUGUGGAGGAACACCGAUAGCGAAGGCAGCCCCCUGGGUCAAGAUUGACGCUCAUGCACGAAAGCGUGGGGAGCAAACAGGAUUAGAAACCCCUGUAGUCCCAU
rnacentral:rRNA from 1 species